CCUGGCUCAGAGUCCUCUCGCGACACUAGACCCUUCGCGCGGGACUUUGCUGUUGAAUGUAAAUUACGGAAACUGAGUUUUGUUAAGUAGGACUGAAGAAAGAAAGAUCAAAGCGCAUAAAAUGGAAUCCAGCUCUUGGAGGACAUUGGAAAGGGAAUUUUCAAGUUGUUUCUUGUAGAACCUAGCUAUUCAAAUUGGUAUAUAAAACAUUUCAGCGUUUCUAAAUAAAAAGUUUUUUAACAAAAAAAAAAAUAAUAAAAUUAUUUACUAUCAGGGCAAUCCUAAGACGUUGGAAUUAUUAUCCAGAUUCUAAGAUGUGAAACAGGCCCAGAGCAAUGGUUGUCAAAGUGUAGUUGGCAUAUCCCGGGAUCCCUGAGGCUCUUUUGGGGGUCCAUGAGGUCAAAACU